AGAAUCAACGCUGGCGGCGUGCCUAACACAUGCAAGUCGAACGAGAAAGUGGAGCAAUCCACGAGUAAAGUGGCGCACGGGUGAGUAACACGUGACUAACCUACCCUGGAGUGGGGGAUAACUGAGGGAACCUUAGCUAAUACCGCAUAAUACCCACGGGUCAAAGGAGCAAUUCGCUUAAGGAGGGGUCGCGGCCGAUUAGUUAGUUGGCGGGGUAAUGGCCCACCAAGACUGUGAUCGGUAU
rnacentral:rRNA from 1 species